GUCAUAUGGAGACCUGCAGCGGCUGGAUUUACAGUGAGAAGACUUCCCCAAAUGCAGUGGAACAACACAUCUUUAUUUUCCAUGCAGCUCUUCCUACAAGAACUUCACAUCUAGCAUCUUUACAGCACAACAGAAGAACAGAAAAAACCCUCUGACAACUGGCAGCCUUAAAUACUUCCAGCUGUCACCGACUAAACCAUUCUUCCACUCACAGCACAACAGAUUCCCCACUCUCCCUUAAGCCCUGGUCUCUCCCGGAACCUUUAAAUGGUGUCUGGACCCAGGGGACAUAUUUGCCCAAACACCUUGGAGAAACACAAGAAGAAAGACCCCACCACCUUCCUUGAUGAGGAGGCACUGCGCAGGAUCUGAACCAAGGCCACCAACUGACUUCAAGAUCCAAUAAACCAGCAAACCCCUGUAUGCCACUGUUCUCCUAUGCAAAUCCCUGGGUAAAGUACAAUGCUAAAUAAAAUACUAUUUAUUAAAAUAAAGAAAGAGUGUAUCACUAAUAUACUAUCAAUUACAAUAAAAUAGUAAGGGAAUCCU